AUCAACUUUCGAUGGUAGGAUAGAGGCCUACUAUGGUGGUAACGGGUAACGGGGUGUUAGGGCACGACACCGGAGAGGGAGCCUGAGAAACGGCUACCACAUCCAAGGAUGGCAGCAGGCGCGCAAAUUACCCAAUCCCGACACGGGGAGGUAGUGACAAUAAAUAACAAUACGGGGUUCUUUUGGAUUUCGUAAUUGGAAUGAGUACAAUUUAAAUCUCUUAACGAGGAACAAUUGGAGGGCAAGUCUGGUGCCAGCAGCCGCGGUAAUUCCAGCUCCAAUAGCGUAUAUUAAAGUUGUUGCAGUUAAAAAGCUCGUAGUUGAAUUUCGGGGUUAGUAAGUUGGUCGUACCRCUGGUAUGUACUGGCUUUACUGAUUCCUCUCCCUUGAAGAACUGUAAUGCCAUUAAUUUGGUGCUGCAGGAAUCAGGAUUGUUACUUUGAAAAAAUUAGAGUGUUUAAAGCAGGCUAACGCUUGAAUACAUUAGCAUGGAAUAAUAAAAUAGGACGUACGAUCCUAUUUUGUUGGUUUCUAGGAUUGACGUAAUGAUUAAUAGGGAUAGUUGGGGGCAUUAGUAUUCAAUUGUCAGAGGUGAAAUUCUUGGAUUUAUUGAAGGCUAACUACUGCGAAAGCAUUUGCCAAGGAUGUUUUCAUUAAUCAAGAACGAAAGUUAGGGGAUCGAAGACGAUCAGAUACCGUCGUAGUCUUAACCAUAAACUAUGCCGACUAGGGAU
rnacentral:sRNA from 1 species